AACUUUCACAACGAUCUCUUGGCUCUCGCAUCGAUGAAGUACGCAGCGAAAUGCGAUAAGUAAUGUGAAUUGCAGAAUUCAGUGAAUCAUCGAAUCUUUGAACGCACCUUGCGCUCUUUGGUAUUCCGAAGAGCAUGCCUGUUUGAGUGUCA
rnacentral:rRNA from 1 species